rnacentral:tRNA from 1 species
GCUGAAAUAGCUCAGGUGGGAGAGCGUUAGACUGAAGAUCUAAAGGUUCCUGGUUCAGUCCUGGGUCACAGCA